AUCGUGCAAAGGUAGCAUAAUCAUUAGUUUCUUAAUUAGGAACUGGUAUGAAAGGUUGAACGAGAAAUCUACUGUCUCAAUUUAAUUUAAUUAGAAUUUUAUUUUUAAGUAAAAAAGCUUAAAUAGAUUUAAAAGACGAGAAGACCCUAUAGAGUUUAAUAUUUAAUAAUUUUAGGAUAAAAUAUAGAAUUAGGAGUUUUUAUUAUUAUUAAGUAUUUGGUUGGGGUGAUUGAAAAAUUGGAUAAACUUUUUUUAAAUUUUAACAUUGAUAUAUGUAUAAUUGAUCCAUAAUUUAUGAUUAAAAGGUUAAAUUACCUUAGGGAUAACAGCGUUAUUUUUUUUUAGAGUUCUUAUCGAAAAAAAAGUUU
rnacentral:rRNA from 1 species